rnacentral:rRNA from 1 species
AUGAGGUCGUUGUGGGUUUUGUUUGGGGCGUUCGUAUUGGCAGUCACAGCAGUUCAUGUCGCCGGUCAGCAAGAAGGUUUCCUGAGCAUCGACUGCGGCCUGGAUGCCAAAUUCAGCGGGCGCAAGGACACCCACACAGAUAUCGCCUACGUCUCCGAUGGUCCGUACGUCGACGGCGGGGAGAACCGCAGGGUGGCCGCCGAGUUCGAUACUCCUAGCGCGUCACUCGAGGACCUCCGCACGCUCAGGAGUUUCCCGUCCGGCCUACGGAACUGCUACACGCUCCCCACCAAGAGCGGCGCCAAGUACCUUGUCCGGAUGGUAUUCUUCCACGGGAACUACGACGGCAAGCCAGCCGUGUUCGACCUGCACCUUGGCACCAACUACUGGGAUACGAUGACGAUCCGAAACAUGACUGACACCCAGUACUGGUGGUCCGAGGCGAUCUUCAUCGCGUGGGCGAGCUCGGUGCCGGUCUGCCUGGUGAACACCGGCGGCGGUACGCCGUUCGUCAACACGGUGGAGCUGAGGCCUCUCGGUGCCUCGCUUUACCCGGACCUCACCAUCGACGGCUCCAUGUCCACGUAUGGAAGGAUAAAUACAGGGGGGAACUUUACCAGGUUUCCUGACGAUCCAUACGACCGCUACUGGGGUUUGAGAACCAUGUCGUCAUGGGCAAAACUUUCCACCAAAGAGACCAUCAAGCAGGAUGACGUGUUCGUGGUACCCAUCCCCAUUCUUCAGACAGUCGUCGCUCCUAUCAACAAUGGCACGGUGCUACACGUCAAUACAUGGGUAUCAUACAAAACAUCAUCCGAGUUUAAGUUCAUCCUACACUUCGCCGACAUUCAAAACGCCCAGCUCCGGCUGUUCGACAUCUACAUGAACAACGACGAGUGGUAUCCGAAUUACAGCCCCCCGUACCUGGCCGCUGGUCAUGUGCGUAAUACUGAAUGGUAUAAGACCACGGACGGCCAGUACAAUAUCACUCUUGCAGCCACCAAUACAUCCAUGCUGCCUCCGAUGCUCAAUGCAUACGAGGGUUACCUGCGCAUCCCCCACGAUACUCCGAGGACGUUCUCGGAAGACUUUGACGCAAUGAUGGCUAUCAAACUUGAGUACGGAGUAAGGAAAAAUUGGAUGGGUGAUCCAUGUUUUCCGGAGAAAUACCGAUGGAAUGGCGUGAAGUGUAGCGACGUAACUGAUAACACUACGAGGAUAAUAUCUCUUGAUCUGUCCAACAACAACAUGAGUGGAUUGGUAUCUGAUAACUUCACAUUGCUCACAGAACUCCGGUUUCUAGAUUUGUCUGGCAACAAUCUGAACGGACCAAUUCCAUAUUCCCUUUGUAAAAGGAAUCCAGGAUCACUCGUUUUCAGAUACGAGUCCGGUGAAGAUAUGUGCAACAAAACAAUAAGUUCGACUCCAUCAACAAAUAGAACAACUAUAAUUUCUAUUUCGGUAGUGGUUCCAUUGGUGGUAGUGGUUGUACUUGUUCUUUCGUAUUUGAUCUGGAGAGGGAAGAAAAAGCCUAAAUUUUCUAUACAGGAUUCUCCUAGAGAGCAAGAACUCGAGAGUGCCCUCAGAAGUACAAAAAGUCAGGGUGGUCACCUGCAAAAUACCGAGAAUCGACGAUUCACAUACAAGGAUCUGGAGAAGUUUACAAAUAAAUUCCAACGGUCCAUUGGGAAAGGAGGUUUUGGGCUCGUGUACUACGGCCGUUUAGAAGACAAUACUGAGGUUGCUGUCAAGAUGCGUUCUGAAUCAUCCUCGCAUGGGCUUGACGAGUUCUUAGCGGAGGUCAAUAGCUUGACAAAGGUGCAUCACAGGAAUCUAGUUUCUUUGGUUGGUUACUGCUGGGAGAAGGAGCAUUUGGCGCUGGUUUAUGAGUACAUGUCCCAGGGAAAUCUUUGUGACCAUCUAAGAGGGAAAAAUGGUGCCGAUGAACCCUUGAGUUGGGCGACACGUGUACGAGUUGUGCUCGAAGCAGCACAAGGCUUGGAUUAUCUGCACAAGGGAUGUAGCUUGCCAAUAAUUCACCGGGAUGUGAAAACCAACAACAUCCUCAUAGGUCAAAACCUACAGGCUAAAAUAGCUGAUUUUGGACUUUGCAAGACCUAUCUUAGCGACAUGCAGACCCACAUAUCAACCAAUGCGGCUGGGACAGCAGGUUACAUGGACCCCGAGUACUAUCACACUGGCUGGCUCAGUGAGAGCAGUGAUGUGUAUAGCUUCGGUGUAGUUCUCCUUGAGGUGGCCACCGGUGAGCCUCCAGUACUGCCGGGCCAUGGCCACAUUGUUCAGCGUGUGAAGCAGAAGAUUGCCACCGGUAACGUUACCACAGUGGCUGAUGCCCAUCUUAGAGGUGAAUAUGAUGUCAACUCCAUGUGGAAACUUGUCGACACCGCCAUGGCGUGCACGGCGGAUGCUGCAGUUCGCAGGCCGACAAUGGCCGCUGUGGUAGCGCAACUGAAAGAGAGCCUUGCGUUGGAGGAAGCUCGUGAGGACAGUAGCGUCAUAGGGAGCAUCGCGAGUACUACUGGUGCCCCGAUGCCUGAGUUUGGACCAUCGGCAAGAUGA